rnacentral:rRNA from 1 species
CUACGGGACGCACCAGUGAGGAAUAUUGCACAAUGGGGGGAACCCUGAUGCAGCAACGCCGCGUGGAGGAUGACGCAUUUCGGUGUGUAAACUCCUUUUAUAUGUCAAGAAAAUGACGGUAGCAUAUGAAUAAGCACCGGCUAACUCCGUGCCAACAGCCGCGGUAAUACGGAGGGUGCAAGCGUUACUCGGAAUCACUCGGCGUAAAGGACGCGUAGGCGGGUUGGAAAGUCAGGUGUGAAAUCCUACAGCUUAACUGUAGAGCUGCACUUGAAACUUCUAAUCUAGAGUAUGGGAGGGGGAGAUGGAAUUAGUGGUGUAGGGGUAAAAUCCGUAGAUAUCACUAGGAAUACCUAAAGCGAAGGCGAUCUCCUGGAACAUUACUGACGCUAAGGCGUGAAAGCGUGGGGAGCAAACAGGAUUAGAUACCCUUGUAGUC